rnacentral:snRNA from 1 species
GUGCUGGCUUCAGCAGCACAUAUACUAAAAUUGGAACGAUACAGAGAUUAGCAUGGUCCCUGCGCAAGGAUGACAUGCAAAUUUGUGAAGUGUUCCAUAUUUUU